UGGGGAAUAUUGGACAAUGGGCGCAAGCCUGAUCCAGCCAUGCCGCGUGAGUGACGAAGGCCUUAGGGUUGUAAAGCUCUUUUGGCGGGGAAGAUAAUGACGGUACCCGCAGAAUAAGCUCCGGCUAACUUCGUGCCAGCAGCCGCGGUAAUACGAAGGGAGCUAGCGUUGUUCGGAAUCACUGGGCGUAAAGCGCACGUAGGUGGAUAGUUAAGUGAGGGGUGAAAGCCCGAGGCUCAACCUCGGAAUUGCCUCUCAUACUGGCUGUCUCGAGUCCGAGAGAGGUGGGUGGAAUUCCUAGUGUAGAGGUGAAAUUCGUAGAUAUUAGGAAGAACACCGGUGGCGAAGGCGACCCACUGGCUCGGUACUGACACUGAGGUGCGAAAGCGUGGGGAGCAAACAGGAUUAGAUACCCCUGUAGUCCCUGAGCGGGCUGGCAAGGCGCAU
rnacentral:rRNA from 1 species